UACGUAGGGUGCGAGCGUUAAUCGGAAUUACUGGGCGUAAAGCGUGCGCAGGCGGUUCGUUAAGUUCGUUGUGAAAGCCCCGGGCUCAACCUGGGAACUGCAAUGGAAACUGGCGGGCUUGAGUGUGGCAGAGGGGGGUGGAAUUCCAGGUGUAGCGGUGAAAUGCGUAGAUAUCUGGAGGAACACCGGUGGCGAAGGCGGCAUCCUGGACCGGCAUUGACGCUGAGGCGCGAAAGCUAGGGGAGCAAACGGG
rnacentral:rRNA from 1 species